CAUUUUUGUUUUGGGUAGAGAGACAUGACUGAUUUGUACCCUUUUUGUCCGCUAGAGGUCCCAAACCUUUCGGCAUUUAUUUCUGAAAGAUCCCAGGAUAUCCCUGCCCGCCUUAUUUCCUCUCCCCCAGGACCCCCACCUGGAAAUCUUACAGAUAUCCCUUUCCUCUUCCUUGUCUUUCCGGUCCUUCCUCAAUCUGUGUGGCUCACCGACUGGAUGUGGUGUCUUCUAUUGCAAGAUCUAACGAUCAUAUUCCUGCAUGUUUUCAAUCUGGCUUCAAGCCUUGUCACUGUCAGCCCUUAGGAUCUGACUUCCAGGAUCUUAUGUGUCCUCAUUGUCCCUUAUUGGUUGGUGUCUUCUCAAGAUUAAGGUGGCUUCCAGGGUCUUUGGAAGGUGAUGGAACAUUAAAUACUUGAAGUGAGGAUAGAACUGAACCCUGGUCCAAGACAGCCUGCCGACCCUCUCGAACCCCAGUGCCCUCCCUCUUGCCUGCGCUGGCAGAGCCAAUAAUCUAGAAGAGACAGGGCAGCUACCCACCAGGACCCAGUAAGUAACGCCUCAACUUCUGCUUUCUCUUCCUGCUACCUCAGCUUCCUCAGACUGCCAAUGGGGAAGCCCACAGGCAUGCCUUCUUUUGAACUAAAAUGAGUGCCAAGAAUCGCCUUCCAUAGUCCACCAGCCAACCCCAGUCUGUAAGGAGGAGCCUCGGUUCUGCGCCAGGGACCCAGGAGCUGUUACUGCCAGCUUCUAGAAACUCAGUCACAGGGGGAAAGUACCCCCAACCCCCAACCCCUAGGGACUGAAACAGUUUCAAGCUAUGGAGAGAGGAGAUUUCUGCUCUCUCUUCCCCUGUGUUCCUUGCCACGGCCUCCCUCCUCCCCAACAGGGUGGGUGGCUACUGAGAAGGAGAAGGAAGGAGGAGAGGGAGGCACAAGGCUUGGCUUGGCCCAUAAAAGCACUGUUGCUGCCAGACUGGCGCUGCUCCGGUUAAUAAGAGGUGGGUGACAGCCACUUUGAACUCUGGCCAAGCAGGCCUCUGGAAAGGGAGCAAUGGUCUCCCCCAUGAGCCCCAGGCUCCUGCCCUCUCUCCCUUCUGAGUCCCCUCCCUCCUCCCCUUUACCCAUUGCACAACGUAGAUGACUGUUUAGACCUCACCACCCCCAUUCCCGGAACCUACAGGUUUCCUCAGCAGAGCUGCCUCUAGUUCUGACCCUGGACCCCUGCAGCCAUCCCCAGCGCUGGGCCUUUCUCCUCCCCAUCUCCCAUUCUUGGGUGGUUUGCUACUGGGUAUAGUUAGUUAGCAGAAAAGAUAAUCCUGAACUCGCAGGGUGAAUGAGGCCAAAGAGUUCUAGUGGGAGCCCCUCUAUCCCUAACUCUGACUCUCUGCAGAUGGGGUCAGGUUCUGGGGCCCCAGAACAGAAGGUUCUGCUACAAGGAAGGGACUGCUACUGACAAAAAUGUCAGGUGACAUUUCCAUAAAUCGCUACAAUGGUGGUUCUCAACCUUCCAAAGGCUGAGGCCUUUUAAUACAGUUCCUCAUGGUGUGUGUGUUACAGGGGGGUGGGCGGGUGGGAGAGUGGGUGACCCCCCAGCCAUAAAGUUAUUUCCACUGCUAUUUCAUAACUGUAAUUUUUUAAAUUGUUAUGAGUCACAAUGUAAAUGUCUGCAUUUUCUGAUGGUCUUAGGUGACCCCAGUGAAAGGGUCCUUUGAUCCCCAAGGGAUUGUGACCCAGAUUGGGGCCCCACUACUCAUCUGCUAAAGAUCCACAGCUAACAUGGCCUUGUCCAUAGUUCUUGGUUUUCUGUCCCCUAAAUUCUUACUUUCUCCUUCCCGGAGGUGAGGGCCAACUGCUUGAGGCCCCUGGCACAGAGGUCUGGGGGUGCCAAGUGUUGCCUCCUCUCUCCUGUUCCCUUAGGUGAGUUUUGUAGGCUGUAGGGUAUCACCAACCGACAGAAAAAGACUCAGAGCCUAUGCUGUAAAUACUCUGACUUGUAAUUCCCCAGCCCCCCAUCUUGGAACCUGAAAUCGGGGUUCAUUGGAGCAAGUGGUUCCUGGCAUUCGAAACAAUGACAGAUCCAGAGGGCUUGUCUCUGGGAGAGGGGGGACUGACUACUCGUCAGGCACUGAAAUCAGGAAGGAGACACUUGGAAGAAUGAGUGUGGGGGGUGUCCCCAGCUCUGGCUUGAGGUCAGAAAGGGCUCUCUGGGCAGCAGGCAGCAUGCCCGGUCCUCCCACACCUUCCUCCUUUCUCAGAAGAGCCUGCAUGGGUGGGUGGGGCUCUGCUGGGACAGCAUGGGGGUCUAUUUAAGGCGCUCUGCUCCACCAAGAAGUUGCUUAUUGCAGAUCCAGCCCUAAGGAUGCCAGAGGAGAGAGGCUUUGUGGUGUUUACAGACAUGCUCCACUCUAUCCGCCCUGGAUCUGUUCGCUGUGUGACAGUCCUCCAGGAUGACGUCCCCUGAGCUCUCAGACUGAUAUUCACUGCUGUCUCGUCCGUGAUAACUGCUGCUUCCUCCUUCUGCCUCCUGCUUUCACUCUUGUUGGCUCCUGCUCUGCUCUUCUUGGGUUACCUCAUCCCCAUCCCAUCCAUCACAGCCCUAUCUGUCCUUCGAAGCUUCCUUUGCCUUCCCGACAGUGCGUGGAUUCCCCGUGUUCCUCCCCAGUGGGGUAGAGUCAUAAGCCCUUUACCCUGGUAGUGUCUAACCCACUGUUCUGCACGGGACAGUUCCUCAACAAACGUCCCUUGCAUUGUGUUGCUUGUGUCUCAUGAAGGAAGAGGAAGUUUAACCUUGAGAUUAAAAUCAAUCAGAUAACAUUCU